AUGAAAUUAUCUGUCACAGUUCCCAAAUUGCUCUUAUUCCAUCAGUUCAGGUCACUGGAAGCUGAUUUUACCCAGAAGUGUUCAGGAUGUCCCAACUCUAUUGCUCUGGCCUUCUUAAAAUACCUUGAUUUCAGAUUUCAGAAGGAAAUGCACCCCCCCCACACACACACACACACAUACUGUGCACAAAGCAUGCAUCUAACCCACUGCCAGGCAUAUAGAAGGGUCUCAAUAGAUGUCAGUUCUCUUCCAUCCUACUGCCCACUUCCUGCUACUUACAUGUCCCUUUUAAAUAAAAGUGUCAUCUCAGGUACAUAGAUAUUUGCCAUAUGUAGUAUAAAAUACAACCUUAUACACACAUCCACACAGAUAUGCACAGACAUAAACUGGACUUACUUGAUAAACACUGUGGCAUUACCAUUCUGUGUUUUAAAACUAUGCACGCUAAUUUUCUAGAGGACAGAAGGCAAGUGUCACACAAAUUAAGUAUCCUCACAGACAAAAGCAGCUGUCUCACCUCACUUAACAUCCCCACGGUCAUGUUUAACAGCCCUAGCUUUAAAACUACCACUGGAGGUAUGUUUAAAUUUCAGGGAAAAUACAGUUCUGGACAUCUGGAUUAAUUAAAAAUAAUCUGUCUCUCCCUAAGGAUAAUAUUGAUAAACCCAUAUAAUAUAGUCACACACUUAUGCUAAAGAUACACAUUUGGCAUAUUUUUUAAAUUAUUCUUCUGUUUAUUACUAAUCUAGGAAUAUGUUUAACCAACAAGCUGUGCCUUGAUUACAGGCCAUUGUUAUGCAUUAAUAAAUACACUUGCUUGGAUUUCACAUCCAUGGUUAAAUUCUGCCUUGUAGUAAAUAAGAGGGAUUAAAAAUUGGACCAAACUGUCCCAUGACAGCAUCCACACAGAGUAUUACUUAUAGAAAUUGAUCAAUUUGUUUCAGGGAAUAAACUGCAAAUAAAAGCAAACCAUGAUCCUUCUAACUGUCCUUAUAUACUCUAGAAAAAAAUAAUUGCAAAUUUCCCAUUGUAUUCUCUCUCCUAGGCUGAAUCUUUUUUUUUUUUUUUUUUAAGAUUUUAUUUAUUCAUUCAUGAGAGAGGCAGGGACAGAGGCAGAGAGAGGCCUAUGUCCACCUGUAGGGAACCUGACACGGGACUCGAUCCAAGGACCCCGGGAUCACUCUCUGAGCCAAAGGAAGAUGCUCAACCACUGGGCCACCCAGGUGUCCCCCUAGGCUGAAUCUUAAAGUGCAAAUAGAGUUUACCAUGAAGCACUGAAGGAAAAUUUGACAGGAGAGUGGGCAGGCCAUGCAAAGGUCCAGAGUGAAGAAGAGAACAACAUGGUGGAGAACUCUCUUGCCUUCUUCAUGGCUGCAGCACACAUGGUAAGAGAAGUGCUGCACAUUCUCUAAAAUCCAUUUCAGCUCUGAAAUCCUCUGAUAAUGGUGAUCAUAAUACACUGGGGUUUUCUUUGUGGCUCAGAUCUAGGGAAGCAGAAGUAAGUUUUGACCCUCAAAGCAGAAUAUGCAUCCAUUUAAACCAAAUUUCCUUGUCCAGACAAAAUAUAGCACCCCCUACAUUCCUGUCCAGGAAAGACAGAAACUCUAGGUUCCUUUUUCCAUCUGAGUUUCUAACUAGCUAAUGUUCCUCCCCUCCCCAGCCUGAAGCACAGGGCUGGGUGCCAAAGCUGAGGGUACAGAUUGGAUACUGUCCU
rnacentral:lncRNA from 1 species